GCCAGUGUGGCAUAGUGGUUUGGGUAUUGGAUGAUGACUCUAAAGAGCAGAGUUCAAACCCCUGCAUGGCCA